UGAGGAAUAUUGGUCAAUGGGCGAGAGCCUGAACCAGCCAAAUCGCGUGAAGGAAGACUGCCUUAUGGGUUGUAAACUUCUUUUAUACAGGAAUAAAAAAGGGGACGUGUCCCUUAUUGCAUGUACUGUAUGAAUAAGCAUCGGCUAACUCCGUGCCAGCAGCCGCGGUAAUACGGAGGAUGCGAGCGUUAUCCGGAUUUAUUGGGUUUAAAGGGUGCGCAGGCGGGCUUUUAAGUCAGCGUUGAAAUCUCGGGGCUUAACUCCGAAACUGCCGUUGAAACUGGGAGUCUUGAGUAUGGAUGAAGUAGGCGGAAUUCGUUGUGUAGCGGUGACAUGCUUAGAUAUAACGAGGAACUCCGAUUGCGUAGGCAGCUUACUAAGCCAUAACUGACGCUCAAGCACGAAAGCGUGGGAUCAAACAGGAUUAGAUACCCCUGGUAGUCCACGCCGUAAACGAUGAUUACUAGUUGUAUGCGAUAUACCGUAUGUGACUAAGCGAAAGCGAUAAGUAAUCCACCUGGGGAGUACGCCGGCAACGGUGAAACUCAAAUGAAUUGACGGGGUCAUAGCUGUUUCCUG
rnacentral:rRNA from 1 species